rnacentral:pre_miRNA from 1 species
CUCAGGGUGGAGGGGUCCCUCAGCCCGGAUUGCGAGAGGGUGCAGGCCAGGCCGAGAGACCCCACCAGUGCAUG